rnacentral:rRNA from 1 species
UACAGAGGUCUCAAGCGUUGUUCGGAUUCAUUGGGCGUAAAGGGCGCGUAGGCGGUACUUCAAGUCAGGCGUGAAAGCCCCGGGCUCAACCUGGGAACCGCGCUUGAGACUGGAGAACUAGAGUUCGGGAGAGGAUGGUGGAAUUCCCAGUGUAGAGGUGAAAUUCGUAGAUAUUGGGAAGAACACCGAUGGCGAAGGCAGCCAUCUGGACCGACACUGACGCUGAGGCGCGAAAGCGUGGGGAGCAAACAGG